AGUGAACGCUGGCGGUAGGCCUAACACAUGCAAGUCGAACAGCAGCACAGUAAGAGCUUGCUCUUACGGGUGGCGAGUGGCGGACGGGUGAGGAAUACAUCGGAAUCUACUUUUUCGUGGGGGGUAACGUAGGGAAACUUACGCUAAUACCGCAUACGACCUACGGGUGAAAGCAGGGGAUCUUCGGACCUUGCGCGAUUGAAUGAGCCGAUGUCGGAUUAGCUAGUUGGCGGGGUAAAGGCCCACCAAGGCGACGAUCCGUAGCUGGUCUGAGAGGAUGAUCAGCCACACUGGAACUAAGACACGGUCCAGACUCCUACGGGAGGCAGCAGUGGGGAAUAUUGGACAAUGGGCGCAAGCCUGAUCCAGCCAUACCGCGUGGGUGAAGAAGGCCUUCGGGUUGUAAAGCCCUUUUGUUGGGAAAGAAAAGCAGCAGGUUAAUACCCCGCUGUUCUGACGGUACCCAAAGAAUAAGCACCGGCUAACUUCGUG
rnacentral:rRNA from 1 species